UAGGGAAUAUUGGUCAAUGGGGGCAACCCUGAACCAGCCAUGCCGCGUGCAGGAAGACUGCCCUAUGGGUUGUAAACUGCUUUUGUACGGGAAGAAAUCAAUCUACGUGUAGGUUGUUGACGGUACCGUGAGAAUAAGGAUCGGCUAACUUCGUGCCAGCAGCCGCGGUAAUACGAAGGAUCCAAGCGUUGUCCGGAUUUACUGGGUUUAAAGGGUGCGUAGGCGGUUUAAUAAGUCAGUGGUGAAAGCCUUCAGCUUAACUGAAGAAUUGCCAUUGAAACUGUUAGACUCGAGUAUGGUUGAGGUCACUGGAAUGUAACAUGUAGCGGUGAAAUGCUUAGAUAUGUUACAGAACACCAAUUGCGAAGGCAGGUGACUAAGCCAUAACUGACGCUGAGGCACGAAAGCGUGGGGAGCAAACAGGAUUAGAUACCCUGGUAGUCCACGCCCUAAACGUUGAAUACUCGGUCUUGGCGAUAUACAGUCAGGGCCCAAGCGAAAGCGUUAAGUAUUCCACCUGGGAAGUACGUUCGCAAGAAUG
rnacentral:rRNA from 1 species